GGGAGAAGUCCCAGGAGGAGCCGAAGCAGCCCAGACCUCCAGCUCAGCCGCGGUUGCAGCUCCCUGCGCGUGUUCCGCAGCCCUCGGGAACGGGAACGGGCUCGCUCCGCACCGAGAGGGCGGAAAAACGGCUCCGGCUGCUGAUGGCAUCCAAGCGCCGAGAGGUGGAAGCGGACGUGUGGCGCCAAUACCGUGCCAACAGAGCGGGGCGGAACACGGAGCGAGGCCAGAGCCCCUGCCGCCACGUGUUUGAGGAUCCCUGCCGCCCUCCCCACCUCCUGAGAAAGGCCUAUGCCGAGAAGCUGAAGGAGGGGCUGCAGGAGAAGGAGAG